UACGGGGGGAGCAAGCGUUGUUCGGAUUUACUGGGCGUAAAGGGCGCGUAGGCGGCGUGCCAAGUCCCUUGGGAAAUCUCCGGGCUUAACUCGGAGCGGCCAAGUGAUACUGUCGUGCUAGAGUGCGGAAGGGGCUACUGGAAUUCUCGGUGUAGCGGUGAAAUGCGUAGAUAUCGAGAGGAACACCUGCGGCGAAGGCGGGUAGCUGGGCCGACACUGACGCUGAGGCGCGAAAGCUAGGGGAGCGAACGGG
rnacentral:rRNA from 1 species